GAUGAACGCUGGCGGCGUGCCUAAUACAUGCAAGUAGAACGCUGAAGGAAGGAGCUUGCUCUUUCCGGAUGAGUUGCGCACGGGUGAGUAACGCGUAGGUAACCUGCCUGGUAGCGGGGGAUAACUAUUGGAAACGAUAGCUAAUACCGCAUAACAGUAGAUGUUGCAUGAUAUCUACUUAAAAGGUGCAAUUGCACCACUACCAGAUGGACCUGCGUUGUAUUAGCUAGUUGGUGAGGUAACGGCUCACCAAGGCGACGAUACAUAGCCGACCUGAGAGGGUGAGCGGCCACACUGGGACUGAGACACGGCCCAGACGCCUACGGGAGGCAGCAGUAGGGAAUCUUCGGCAAUGGACGGAAGUCUGACCGAGCAACGCCGCGUGAGUGAAGAAGGUUUUCGGAUCGUAAAGCUCUGUUGUAAGAGAAGAACGAGUGUGAGAGUGGAAAGUUCACACUGUGACGGUAUCUUACCAGAAAGGGACGGCUAACUACGUG
rnacentral:rRNA from 1 species